GACAGAGGAGCCAAGCGUUGUCCGGAUUGACUGGGCGUAAAGCGCACGCAGGCGGCCGUGCACGUGGGGUGUGAAAGCUGGCGGCUUAACUGCCAGACGCCACCUUAUACGGCACGGCUCGAGCCCGUGAGAGGUCCACGGAAUUGCCGGUGUAGUGGUGAAAUGCGUAGAGAUCGGCAGGAACACCCAGGGGGAAACCAGUGGACUGGCACGGUGCUGACGCUCAGGUGCGAAAGCGUGGGGAGCGAACCGG
rnacentral:rRNA from 1 species